GCCCGAUUAGCUCAGCUGGUUAGAGCGUCGUACUAAUAAUCUCACUAGAUUAUGAGGUAUGCGAAGGCCAACAGUUCAAUCCUGUUAUUGGGCA